UUUAUUUUAAUAUUAAGAUACAGGAUCAAUUUUCUCCUAAUCAACUAUUCAGAAACGAUACAAUUAUACUUUGUUGCUCUACUUACCAGCAUUGAAAACAACGUUAGCCUCAACGGUCUUUCCUCUCACUAAAUUGCAGGGCAAAGAGGAACA